UUGUGCUCGCUUGGCACAAAUAUACUAAAUUUGUAACGAUACAGAGAUUAGCAUGGCCCCUGCACAAGGAUAACACACAAAUUCAUGAAGCAUUCCUUUUUCUU